rnacentral:rRNA from 1 species
AACGAACGCUGGCGGCAUGCCUAACACAUGCAAGUCGAACGAGACCUUCGGGGCUAGUGGCGCACGGGUGCGUAACGCGUGGGAACCUGCCCUUAGGUUCGGAAUAACUCCCCGAAAGGGGUGCUAAUACCGGAUAAUUUCUUCGGACCAAAGAUUUAUCGCCUUUGGAUGGGCCCGCGUUGGAUUAGCUAGUUGGUAGGGUAAAAGCCUACCAAGGCGACGAUCCAUAGCUGGUCUGAGAGGAUGAUCAGCCACACUGGGACUGAGACACGGCCCAGACUCCUACGGGAGGCAGCAGUGGGGAAUAUUGGACAAUGGGCGAAAGCCUGAUCCAGCAAUGCCGCGUGAGUGAUGAAGGCCUUAGGGUUGUAAAGCUCUUUUACCCGGGAUGAUAAUGACAGUACCGGGAGAAUAAGCUCCGGCUAACUCCGUG